AUUGAACGCUGGCGGCAGGCCUAACACAUGCAAGUCGAGCGAGCGGCGGACGGGUGAGUAAUGUAUGGGUAUCUGCCUGAUGGCGGGGGAUAAAUACUGGAAACUGUAGCUAAUACCGCAUACCCUCAGAUGCACCCAUAGUGGAUUAGCUAGUAGGUGAGGUAACGGCUUACCUAGGCGAAGAUCCCUAGCUGGUCUGAGAGGAUGAGCAGCCACACGGGGACUGAGACACGGCCCAGACUCCUACGGGAGGCAGCAGGGGGGAAUAUUGCACAAUGGGCGCAAGCCUGAUGCAGCCAUGCCGCGUGUAUGAAGAAGGCCUGCGGGUUGUAAAGUACUUUCAGUCGGGAGGCGUUACCGACAGAAGAAGCACCGGCUAACUCCGUGCCAGCCGCCGCGGUAAUAC
rnacentral:rRNA from 1 species